UGUCCAGUAGCACCUUAGAGACUAAGUUUGUUCUGGGUACAGUACAGUAUAAGCUUUCGUGCGCAUGCACACUUCUUCAGAUACACAUGCACACGAAAGCUUAUACCCAGAACAAACUUAGUUGGCCUCUAAGGUGCUACUGGACG